rnacentral:rRNA from 1 species
UACAGAGGGGGCAAGCGUUGUCCGGAUUUACUGGGCGUACAGCGCGCGCAGGCGGUUGCGUAUGUGAGCGGUGACAUCCGCGGGCUCAACCCGCGGCGGCCCGCUUACACAGCGCGACUGGAGGCAGGGAGAGGGAUGUGGAAUACCCGGUGUAGCGGUGAAAUGCGCAGAUAUCAGGAGGAACACCAAUGGCGAAGGCAGCUCGCUGGGACGGUACUGACGCUGGAGACGCGAAAGCGUGGGGAGCAAACAGG